UGCAGUCGAGCGAGCUCUUCGGGGCUAGCGGCGGACGGGUGAGUAACGCGUGGGAACGUGCCCUCUUCUACGGAAUAGUCCUGGGAAACUGGGUUUAAUACCGUAUACGCCCUUCGGGGGAAAGAUUUAUCGGAGGAGGAUCGGCCCGCGUUGGAUUAGGUAGUUGGUGGGGUAAUGGCCUACCAAGCCGACGAUCCAUAGCUGGUUUGAGAGGAUGAUCAGCCACACUGGGACUGAGACACGGCCCAGACUCCUACGGGAGGCAGCAGUGGGGAAUCUUAGACAAUGGGGGCAACCCUGAUCUAGCCAUGCCGCGUGAGUGACGAAGGCCUUAGGGUCGUAAAGCUCUUUCGCUGGGGAAGAUAAUGACGGUACCCAGUAAAGAAACCCCGGCUAACUCCGUGCCAGCAGCCGCGGUAAUACGGAGGGGGUUAGCGUUGUUCGGAAUUACUGGGCGUAAAGCGCACGUAGGCGGGCUGUUAAGUCGGGGGUGAAAUCCCGGGGCUCAACCCCGGAACUGCCUUCGAUACUGGCAGCCUUGAGUCCGAGAGAGGUGAGUGGAAUUCCGAGUGUAGAGGUGAAAUGCGUAGAGAUCGGAAGGAACACCAGUGGCGAAGGCGGCUCUCUGGCCUAAAACUGACGCUGAGGUACGAAAGCGUGGGUAGCAAACAGGAUUAGAUACCCUGGUAGUCCACGCCGUAAACGAUGUCAACUAGCCGUUGGGUCUUAUUAUGAGGCUUAGUGGUGCAGCUAACGCAAUAAGUUGACCGCCUGGGGAGUACGGCCGCAAGGUUAAAACUCAAAUGAAUUGACGGGGGCCCGCACAAGCGGUGGAGCAUGUGGUUUAAUUCGAUGCAACGCGAAGAACCUUACCUACCCUUGACAUCCAGAGAAUCUGUGAGAGAUCGUAGAGUGCCUUCGGGAGCUCUGAGACAGGUGCUGCAUGGCUGUCGUCAGCUCGUGUCGUGAAAUGUUGGGUUAAGUCCCGCAACGAGC
rnacentral:rRNA from 1 species